UACGAGAGGCCCAAACGUUAUUCGGAAUUACUGGGCUUAAAGAGUUCGUAGGCGGCAUUGCAAGUAGGGUGUGAAAGCCCUCGGCUCAACCGAGGAAUUGCGCUCUAAACUGCAGUGCUCGAGGAAGCUAGAGGUGAGCAGAACAGAUGGUGGAAGCGGUGAAAUGCGUUGAAUAUCAUCUGGAAUACCGGAGGCGAAGGCGGCUCACUGGGCUUUCU
rnacentral:rRNA from 1 species